rnacentral:lncRNA from 10 species
CCGGCCACGCCGGGGCCCAGAGCAAGUCAGCCAGAGGUCCCUUAUCUGCCCAACUUCACCUCCACUCUCUAAGAUCUUGGUUGGUAUGAUGGGCUGACCUAUAAAAGUGGCAGUUUCAUAUGGUUUCAAUGACUCGAAUAAAAGACCAACAAGAGGCCAGAUCGGGCGAGCCUGAUAGCGUUGGGGGUGACGCUCCCCUUGCGAUCUUGUCAUUGGAUGAGGUAUCCAGAGGCCUGCGCAGCCUUCCUCCCUCUGAUCCCCUGCUUUCUCAUUAACUGAAGGGGGGGCAGACCAGUCUAUAUGCAAAAUGUGAGUCCUUACUCGUGGCUGGCAGAUCUUGGGUGCUCCCUGCUCCCACCUAGAAGGUUUCCUAAGUCCCCAGGUGGCCCUGGGGCUCACUUCCCUGCAGCCCAGCCUCCCAUGAGUGGAGCGCUUUCCCGGCUCAGGGCCUCUGGCUGGGAUGCUGCUCCACAGUGCUCUUCCUCCUCCUUUUCAUCCCGUGGUCUCCCCAAGGAGCCUUUCCUGGCCUCUCUGUCUAAAAGCACCCUGCGGAGCACAGUGGCUUACACCUGUAACCUCAGCACUCAGGGAAGCCAAGGCCGGAGGAGCAGUUGAGCUCAGGAGUCGGAGACCAGCCUGUGCAACCUGGGAGAACUUUCUACAAAAUAAAAAAAUUAGCGGAGCAUGGUGGCACACACCUGUAAUCCCAGCUACGGGGCGGGGCGGCGAGUGGGGAGCAGGCUGGACAAUGGAGUGAGAUCCUGUCUUAAAACACAAAAUAAAAGCAGCUCUCACUCAAGCUCCUGACUGCUGCCUUGUCCUAAUUUUCUUCUGAGCAUUUGUCACUGUAUGUGUGUGUGUAUGUGUGUAUGUGUAUAUAUAUAUGUGUGU